rnacentral:rRNA from 1 species
AAGUGGACGAACCUCUGGUGGUCCGGUUGUUGCGCCAGCAGCAUUGCCGGGUAGCUAUGUUCGGAAGGGAUAACCGCUGAAAGCAUAUAAGCGGGAAGCCCCUCCUAAGAUGAGAUCUCCCUUGAGAGCCGUUGAAGACGACAACGUUGAUAGGCUAGAUGUGUAAGUCCUGUAAGGGAUUCAGCUUACUAGUACUAAUUGCUCGAUCGGCUUGAAUAA